AUACGUCUAGUCUGUAAUGCUUGACGAAGGUUUUGAAUGAAGACCAUGUAGCGGCUCUGCAGAUGCUUUUUCGGCCCAGGAAGCACCCAUUCCUCUUAGCGGAAGUUAUGACCACCAAAAAUGCGGUUUUCAGAGACUGGAGCUUCAAGGAAGUUUCCUCCAAAGGUUUGAAAGGCUGGGUAAAAAGAGACUUCAAAACCAAAGAUUUAGAAUUCCAUAAGGACGGCUGAUAUGGCCAUAUCAGCCGUCCUCAGGUACUGAGCUUUAGCCACCGAAGCGCCUGCCAAUGCUGCUUUAGCCUGAAAUCCUGCUGCCUGAUAUGCUCAUCUGCUGGAUGUUUCUGCCCUUUUAUCCCUAGGGUCUUUAAG